AAAAAUGAAGAUGAAAGCAACUGACUGUGACAAUCUGCUGUGUCCACAAUCUAAGUGUAUUUUUCUUUCUUUUCUCUUUUCCUUCUGGGGUUUCCAGUUUACCGUGGUUUCUGGGCAGUCCUGAUGCUCCUGGGGGUAGUUGCUGUAGUCAUCGCGAGCUUUUUGAUCAUCUGUGCAGCCCCCUUCGCCAGCCAUUUUCUCUACAAAGCUGGGGGAGGCUCAUAUAUUGCUGCAGGCAUCCUAUUUUCAUUGGUGGUGAUGCUGUAUGUCAUCUGGGUCCAGGCAGUGGCUGACAUGGAAAGCUACCGAAACAUGAAAAUGAAGGACUGCCUGGAUUUCACCCCUUCUGUUCUGUAUGGCUGGUCAUUUUUCCUGGCCCCAGCUGGGAUAUUUUUUUCUUUGCUAGCUGGAUUACUAUUUCUAGUUGUUGGACGGCAUAUUCAGAUACAUCACUAAAUCAACUGUUGCCACAAGUAUUUUCUUGAGAAUACUUUUUUUCCAUUUUGUUUCAUUGAUCCCAGCAUAAAGUUAGUAGAUAUAACUUUUUAGUUGCUAUUCAAAUUAAUCAUUUUACUAAAAUUUUCUUCAAUAAGAAGGUCCUAGAAUCUCUCCAGACACCAACAAGCCUCCAUCUUGUCUAAGUGUUGUCAAGGACCUAGUUCUUUAGGGAAUAGGUAAACAGGUCUCCCUUUCAUUGAACAUGUGAGAGUUCAUGCAGGUUGCAAAGGCCUGAUAAUAGCUUAAUACCAUGACAUGGAGAAAAUCUUGAUAGAUUUGGCUUAAAGUCUCCUUGGCAUUCACUUCUGCUAAUUAAAAAAAAUCCUUGAAGAAUAAUUAAGAAUGGGCAAGGUUGUCAGAGAAUUUAUUUUGUUUCUUCCCCACACAGAUAAUAUCCCCAUACACAUUCACUGGCUCUUGUGAGCAAAUGAAUUUAAAAAUAGACAGCAGUUGUUCUAAUUAGUGGGAGCCAUGUACUCACCAGUUAAAACGGGCCACAACAAACAAGACUGAGAGCGUGUACUUAUCUUGCUUUUUCACCAACAGUGGUUUGGUUACCUAGUUUUAUUCACUUAAUUGUGCAUACUUACAUAAACUUUAAACUACAUUUAAAGCUAGCAAAUCUGCAUACCAAAUUAUGUAUAAUGUAGAUUGAAUUUUUAUGAACUUAAAGUGAGUUAAUUGUAUAUGUAAUAUUGUUUAAAAUAUGUAAAAACCAAGCAUUUCAGCUUGGUCCAUAAUUCUAUUUGAUAUUUUUAAAUUCUCAUUUAAAAAUUAUACUGCUAUCGUUCAGCAUGUGAAAAUUUAUUGAUAAAAUGUGAUUUUAAUAUUCUUUAGCUAUAAACUUUCAAUAUACUUCCAUAUGAGGAUUAUAAUAGCCCUGCUUUAUUAAAGACCAUAAAAUAUUAACUUUCCCCAAGAUGUUAUGGGUUCCAGUUCUUCUGAUCAUUUGAUUCCUUUAAUUACUGUCCCUCAAUUUCUUCAUCUUUACAAUAGGUAUAUUAACAUUUACAGAUCGACUAUUUCCUUUAACCUCCUAGAAGAAAGUUUUUGUGGGGAAAGAUAAUUCUGUAUUAUUCAGUAGCAUAGACAUUUUGCAUAUCAAAGAUGUUCAUUUGGCACUAAUGUUGAUUGAAAUCAAAUCCAUCUGAGAUGCCUAGCUCGUAUUUGCAUUCUGGAAGCCUCCAUCGCAGGGGAGCUCGGCAGGGUAUGUGAGCUUUGUUGGAGGUGCGGUGUUUCAUUCUGCAGCUGUUGUGAGGACAGAGAGGCAUGGCUGACAGGCAAAAAAA
rnacentral:sRNA from 1 species